CAAACCUCAAGCUCACGCUUGGUAUUGGGCGACGUCCGCAAGGACGCGCCAGAAACCCGUAGGCAGUGGUGCCCGCCUCCCAGCGUAGUCAAGUUACCCGCUUCGGAGCGCGCGGCGCCGCCCGCCGGACAACACCUCUAUUUUCUAUG
rnacentral:misc_RNA from 1 species